UUGCUUCGGCAGCACAUAUACUAAACUUGGAAUGAUACAGAGAAGAUUAGCAUGGCCCUUGGGCAAGGAUGACACCCAAAUUUGUGAAGCGGUCCAUAUAUUU